rnacentral:rRNA from 1 species
UNUGACUUGAGUGCAGAAGGGGAGAGUGGAAUUCCAUGUGUAGCGGUGAAAUGCGUAGAUAUAUGGAGGANCACCAGUGGCGAAAGCGGCUCUCUGGUCUGUCACUGACGCUGAGGCUCGAAAGCGUGGGUAGCGAACAGGAUUAGAUACCCUGGUAGUNCACGCCGUAAACGAUGAGUGCUAGGUGUUAGGCCCUUUCCGGGGCUUAGUGCCGGAGCUAACGCAAUAAGCACUCCGCCUGGGGAGUGCGACCGCAAGGUUGAAACUCAAAGGAAUUGACGGGGGCCCGCACAAGCGGUGGAGCAUGUGGUUUAAUUCGAAGCAACGCGAAGAACCUUACCAGGUCUUGACAUCCCGAUGCUAUUCUUAGAGAUAGGAAGUUACUUCGGUACAUCGGAGACAGGUGGUGCAUGGUUGUCGUCAGCUCGUGUCGUGAGAUGUUGGGUUAAGUCCCGCAACGAGCUCAACCCUUAUUGUUAGUUGCCAUCAUUAAGUUGGGCACUCUAGCGAGACUGCCGGUAAUAAACCGGAGGAAGGUGGGGAUGACGUCAAAUCAUCAUGCCCCUUAUGACCUGGGCUACACACGUGCUACAAUGGUCGGUACAACGAGUUGCGAGCCGGUGACGGCAAGCUAAUCUCUGAAAGCCGAUCUCAGUUCGGAUUGGAGGCUGCAACUCGCCUCCAUGAAGUCGGAAUCGCUAGUAAUCGCGGAUCAGCACGCCGCGGUGAAUACGUUCCCGGGCCUUGUACACACCGCCCGUCACACCACGAGAGUUUGUAACACCCGAAGUCGGUGAGGUAACCUUUUAGGGGCCA